rnacentral:rRNA from 1 species
UACGUAGGGUGCGAGCGUUGUCCGGAAUUAUUGGGCGUAAAGAGCUCGUAGGCGGUGUGUCACGUCGUUCGUGAAAACCUGCAGCUUAACUGUGGGCGUGCGGUCGAUACGGGCAUCACUGGAGUUCGGCAGGGGAGACUGGAAUUCCUGGUGUAGCGGUGAAAUGCGCAGAUAUCAGGAAGAACACCCGUGGCGAAGGCGGCUCUCUGGGACGGUAUUGACGCUGAGACGCGAAAGCGUGGGGAGCGAACAGG